rnacentral:rRNA from 1 species
UGGGGAAUUUUGGACAAUGGGCGAAAGCCUGAUCCAGCAAUGCCGCGUGUGUGAAGAAGGCCUUCGGGUUGUAAAGCACUUUUGUCCGGAAAGAAAUCCUUGGCUCUAAUACAGUCGGGGGAUGACGGUACCGGAAGAAUAAGCACCGGCUAACUACGUGCCAGCAGCCGCGGUAAUACGUAGGGUGCAAGCGUUAAUCGGAAUUACUGGGCGUAAAGCGUGCGCAGGCGGUUUGCUAAGACCGAUNUGAAAUCCCCGGGCUCAACCUGGGAACUGCAUUGGUGACUGGCAGGCUAGAGUAUGGCAGAGGGGGGUAGAAUUCCACGUGUAGCAGUGAAAUGCGUAGAGAUGUGGAGGAAUACCGAUGGCGAAGGCAGCCCCCUGGGCCAAUACUGACGCUCAUGCACGAAAGCGUGGGGAGCAAAACAGGAUUAGAUACCCCUGGUAGUCCCACGCCCUAAAACGAUGUCAACUAGUUGUUGGGGAUUCAUUUCCUUAGUAA